CACUCUCAUUUUUCUCUAAAAUCUCCAAAAUACCCCUGUAACGUCUCUCUUUUACAAAAUGGAAUCCUCGAGUAACAAAAAGCGACUCCGUUCCGACUCGGACGAGUCCGAGUUCAACUCACCGGAGGCCAAGAGAAUCCGAGACGACCUUCUCGACACUCUAGACGACUCCGACGUGUGCACCGUCGGUGACGACCUCGACUCGUUCAUAAAAAGCUUCGAAGACGAAAUAUCUCCUCCGCCGGAGACACUCGACCAGGCCUCCGAGUCCGGCGACUCUCGCCCGGAUCUCGAGUUUCUCCUCGAGGCAUCCGACGACGAACUCGGACUCCCUCCGACGGAGAC
rnacentral:lncRNA from 1 species